CAGAACCCAGAGUCAGGGCUGGUUUUGUGCGAACAGGAAGUGCUGCCGAAACUGAUAAGACAGGAGCCAUGACACAGUUUAUAGGGUUCCUGUGGAAACACAAGAUAGGAACCCGAAGCUGGCAAGAGCCAAGUAUAUCCACUACUUGACAGGGAGCUUAAGCACAUGGAUUCAGAAGUCCGACAAGCUGGACUUUGAAUCGCCUCUGACUAAAGGCCCGAGGAUCUUGAACAAGCUUUGUACAGAAAUGUUCAGUGAAAGAAUUCUGGGCAACUCUGACUUAGAUUAUAAAAGUUGAAAACCAUUGCCCAUUCCCUUAGAUUGCCAUGAAAUCCUUCUAUGGAAGAAGGGUGAAAGGAAGGGUUUGUAAUGUGUCCACACAGGCCGGCUUGUUUACACAUGCUGCUUCAUUUGGUCCUAAUAGCAACACCAAUUCAGUUUAGCAACCAAAAGGCCGCCACCGUUUGAACUGGACGGUCCCCAAAAGCGCAUGUGGGUAAGUCUUGGGUUCCCGUGUUAGGAGGCAGGAGACUCUGUAGGAGCUCUGUAGGAGCUCUUUCCGUCCCUGGAAACACGCUCCUCUGCAAGCUUCUCUUCAGUUCCCAGUCUCACCCACAACCAGAACCUGCUCCCGGAUAGCGUUAGAUAGUCAACAAGGGCCCUAAACCGGAAGCCAGCCAACUCUGGGUGAAAACUGUGAGCCGAAAGAAACCUUUCUGUCUCUAAGUUGGUUUAUCUGAGGCAUUUGUUACAGUGUCGAAGGACUGACUAGCACAGAAGCUGAUUCGGAGAGUCUGUGAGCCCAGUAAGUCACGGCUUGCUUUCCAGCCCUGACCCCAGGUGCCCGGCCCACAGACUAAGCCUCCCCACAAACAUCCCUGUGUGCCUCCCCUCGGGGCGGCUCCUCCCACCUGCUCUGUCUCUCCCAGUGACUUCUAAAUUUUGUUUCCCUUGGCUGAAACUGAGCCAAACACAGUGAGGGUGUAAUUUCACACUGCUUAUUUUUAAGCAACUUUUAACCAUUUUGAACUUCCUCGUUACUUUCUUUUUCCACUCCCCUUUCCUCUGCUUCUCCUGACACAUCCGGCCCGGUUUUUAAACCCCGUGUUUAGGGAACACAAAAUAAGAUCUGAAACAUUGUGCAAUUACUUUUCCAUUUUCUUUUUGACCGGAAAGGUCAGGGACAGACAUGUUUUCGUCACUCUUCAAAGAGUGCAGAGGCAGUACCCCGAAACCUCUGUUUAGCUUUCUUUAGUGUCUCCUGACGGGUGCUGACCAACUGUUGAUGUCUUCAUUCAACAGGACCAGGAAGCCUUCGGAGCCCAACCGGAAGCUGCUUGCACUUAAGACUACAGAACUACAUAGUACUGAGCCUGGGAGAUUUGAUGGAGCUCCGUGGCUUUGACGGCCUCCAACUCUGCAAUAGAUUCCAGGCCUUCGGUGGUGACAUUGUACAGGUCUAACAUCUAUUCAGCUUGCCUUGCAAUCCAGUCCCACCCACUCUGCAGAUGGGAGAGACACACUAGCCAGACAGCUAGCUGCUCAGGCCUCUCGCGCAUUCAAGGACCCCCGCAUGAACCCCUGUUCUGUAAACCUCAAGAGAAACUCCAGGGCUUGGGGGUCACCUUCUACUUGUAAGUUGAUGUGGGAUUCCCCUCUGUAUGCUAUGAAUAUGUUGUAUUGCCAUUGGUUAAUAAGGAAACUUAUCCAACCAAUGGCUUAGCAGAGAAAAGCCAAGCAGGAAAUCUGAAUAGAGAUAUAUAGAGAGAGAGUAGGCAGAGGAAAAGGGACGUCAUGUAGCCACCCAGGCGGGAACCUUACCAGUAAACCACAAACCUCAUGGUAAAACAUAAAAUAAUGAAAAUGGGUUAAUUUAAGAUAUAAGAGCUAGCUAGCAAUACACUAAGUGAUUGGCCAAUCAGUGUUGUAAUUAAUAUAGUUUCUCUGUAAUUAUUAAGGUCUGGGCAGCCGGGAACCGAACAAGAGGUCUCCGCCUACACUAAGUGAUGCAUAACACUCUAGCAAAGAACACGGGGAGACCUUAAAUCCUUAACCUACACAGUUGCACAACCUGGAAGACCCUCAGCUGCCCCUGGUAUCCUUGGGUUCAUUUCUCAGACAUCCACUGAAGACAGAAAGCUGCUCUUGUGGCAUGUCUGGGUGAGCAGACAAGAGAGCAAGCUUGCUCCCUCAUUACGUCACAUAAUCUCAGUCAAGAGCAACAGCUAAGUGACCAGGGAACAAAGCCUCAUUCUUAGUGUUCUCAGUACACCUUGGCAACAGUGUCAAAGACGGGUGAUGGUAAGACCUGGCAUGAGAGAGCUAAGAGCCACAACUUAGUUCACCAAGAACACCAGAGCACAAUUGGAGACAGUUUCUUUCCAUGGGUAUUAUAAUCGUACUGCAUUAUGUAUUUAUUUGCUAUUUGGCUUUAAAAAAAAAACAAACUAGAAAUCACCUCAGAGAUAACCUAAUCCAUGCCUUCGUUUUCCACAAGAGGCCCCAAGGCCUGGAAAGCCUGUAUAGUUAUAUGCCUUGUGGGACCGGCAAGGGCAGAGAGACUGGAGCAGAGUGCCGCAGGUGACAUUAGGUGGCACACGGCUAGUGACACGCAGGUAAACACCUCCCACUUCCAGCUCUUUUUGGCUGAAUCGUCACAGACAUGGACAGGUCAUGGGCUGAGUUUAUCCACACGUGGGCUUCCCUCGGGAGGGGAUGAGUACUUGAACACUGGCCUUACUUCCCAGUCCGUGAGACCGUUUGGAUAGCUUUGAUCCACUCAGUACGCUCCUUGGGAGUGGCCGCCUGAAAGUAAUAAUGAACUUCAUCCGCUGUGAU